GACGAACGCUGGCGGCGUGCUUAACACAUGCAAGUCGAACGAUGAUGCUCCAGCUUGCUGGGGUGGAUUAGUGGCGAACGGGUGAGUAACACGUGAGUAACCUGCCCCCUUCUUCGGGAUAAGCUUGGGAAACUGGGUCUAAUACUGGAUAUUCUGCAAUUGUCGCCUGGUGGUUGUGGGAAAGAUUUUUUGGUGGGGGAUGGGGUCGCGGCCUAUCAGCUUGUUGGUGGGGUGAUGGCCUACCAAGGCGUCGACGGGUAGCCGGCCUGAGAGGGUGACCGGGAACAGUGAGACUGAGAUACGGCCCAGAGUACUACGGGAGGCGGCAGUGGGGAAUAUUGCACAAUGGGCGCAAGCUUGAUGCAGCGACGGCGCGUGAGGGAUGACGGCUUUCGGGUUGUAAACCUCUUUCGAUGGGGAACAAGGCCAUAUUUUUGUGUGGUUGAGGGUACCUGUAUAAGAAGCGCCGGCUAACUACGUG
rnacentral:rRNA from 1 species